GGGCCGUUAGCUCAGUCGGUAGAGCAGCGGACUUUUAAUCCGCGUGUCCUGGGUUCGAUUCCCAGACGGCCCACCA
rnacentral:tRNA from 2 species